AUUGAACGCUGGCGGCAGGCUUAACACAUGCAAGUCGAACGAGUGGCGGACGGGUGAGUAAUGUCUGGGAAUCUCCCUUAUGGAGGGGGAUAACUACUGGAAACGGUAGCUAAUACCGCGUACCAUAGGAUGAGCCCAAGUGGGAUUAGGUAGUUGGUGGGGUAAAGGCUAACCAAGCCGACGAUCUCUAGCUGGUCUGAGAGGAUGACCAGCCACACUGGAACUGAGACACGGGCCAGACUCCUACGGGAGGCAGCAGUGGGGAAGAUGGCGCAAUGGGGGCAAGCCUGACGCAGCCAUGCCGCGUGGAUGAAGAAGGCCUUCGGGUUGUAAAGUACUUUCAGUGGGGAGGCGUUACCUGCAGAAGAAGCACCGGCUAACUCCGUGCCAGCAGCCGCGGUAAUAC
rnacentral:rRNA from 1 species